rnacentral:lncRNA from 1 species
UCAUGGGUCGAAGACAUGCCGAGUGUCACCUGUCAACGCAUGGGAUAAGAUUUGUUGGAGACAAUUAUUUCAAUUUAGUAUAAAUAGGUGUUCUAAUGUUAGGAUUAGUGUGUUCAAAUUACUGUACAAUCAAUCAUAUUUACUCAAAGUAUCCAGUGUAUAGAGAAAAGAGUACAAUUGAGAAUGUACGUGUGAUAACACCAUUAUACUCAUAUCAAUUAAAGCUCAUUUAUAUCUUCUUG